rnacentral:rRNA from 1 species
UACGGAGGAUGCGAGCGUUAUCCGGAUUUAUUGGGUUUAAAGGGUGCGUAGGCGGUAUGGUAAGUCAGCGGUAAAAGCCCGGGGCUCAACCCCGGCGAGCCGUUGAAACUGACACCCUUGAGUGAGUGAGAAGUAAGCGGAAUGCGUGGUGUAGCGGUGAAAUGCAUAGAUAUCACGCAGAACGCCGAUUGCGAAGGCAGCUUACCGGCGCUCAACUGACGCUGAGGCACGAAAGUGCGGGUAUCGAACAGG